rnacentral:rRNA from 1 species
UGGGGAAUAUCGGACAAUGGGCGAAAGCCUGAUCCAGCCAUGCCGCGUGUGUGAAGAAGGUCUUCGGAUUGUAAAGCACUUUAAGUUGGGAGGAAGGGCAGUAAGCGAAUACCUUGCUGUUUUGACGUUACCGACAGAAUAAGCACCGGCUAACUCUGUGCCAGCAGCCGCGGUAAUACAGAGGGUGCAAGCGUUAAUCGGAAUUACUGGGCGUAAAGCGCGCGUAGGUGGUUCGUUAAGUUGAAUGUGAAAGCCCCGGGCUCAACCUGGGAACUGCAUCCAAAACUGGCGAGCUAGAGUAGGGCAGAGGGUGGUGGAAUUUCCUGUGUAGCGGUGAAAUGCGUAGAUAUAGGAAGGAACACCAGUGGCGAAGGCGACCACCUGGGCUCAUACUGACACUGAGGUGCGAAAGCGUGGGGAGCAAACGGG